UUAGCGGCGGACGGGUGAGUAACACGUGGGUAAUCUGCCUUAUACAGGGGGAUAACAGUUAGAAAUGACUGCUAAUACCGCAUAAGCGCACGGGGACGCAUGUUUCUGUGUGAAAAACUCCGGUAGUAUAAGAUGAGCCCGCGUCUGAUUAGCUGGUUGGUGGGGUAACGGCCUACCAAGGCGACGAUCAGUAGCCGGCCUGAGAGGGUGAACGGCCACAUUGGGACUGAGACACGGCCCAAACUCAUACGGAAGGCAGCAG
rnacentral:rRNA from 1 species